rnacentral:rRNA from 1 species
GUUGUAUGGUUAAGUGACGAAGCGUAUACGGUGGAUGCCUUGGCAGUUAGAGGCGAUGAAGGACGUGUAAGUCUGCGAAAAGCUGUGGUGAGCCGACAAAAUGCAUUUGAGCCACAGAUGUCCGAAUGGGGAAACCCACCUGUUUACAGGUAUCGUUACAUGAAUACAUAGUGUAACGAGGCGAACGAGGGGAACUGAAACAUCUAAGUACCCUUAGGAAAAGAAAUCAAUUGAGAUUCCCCUAGUAGCGGCGAGCGAACGGGGAACAGCCCUUAAGCUGUAUUGAAUGUAGUGGAAUCCUUUGGGAAGAGGAGCGAUACAAGGUGAUAGCCCUGUACACGACGCAAUCUUUACAGUGAAAUCGAGUAGGUCGGGACACGUGUUAUCUUGACUGAAUAUGGGGGGACCAUCCUCCAAGGCUAAAUACUCCUAACUGACCGAUAGUGAACCAGUACCGUGAGGGAAAGGCGAAAAGAACCCCUGUGAGGGGAGUGAAAUAGAACCUGAAACCGUAUACGUACAAGCAGUGGGAGCCCUUCGGGGUGACUGCGUACCUUUUGUAUAAUGGGUCAGCGACUUAUAUUUAGUAGCAAGGUUAAGCGAAUAGCGGAGCCGUAGCGAAAGCGAGUGUUAACUGCGCGUUUAGUUGCUAGGUAUAGACCCGAAACCCGGUGAUCUAGCCAUGAGCAGGUUGAAGGUUGAGUAACAUCAACUGGAGGACCGAACCCACUGACGUUGAAAAGUCAGGGGAUGACUUGUGGCUGGGGGUGAAAGGCCAAUCAAACCGGGAGAUAGCUGGUUCUCCCCGAAAUCUAUUUAGGUAGAGCCUCGGACGAAUUCCAUUGGGGGUAGAGCACUGUUAAGGCUAGGGGGUCAUCCCGACUUACCAACCCUUUGCAAACUCCGAAUACCAAUGAGAACUAUCCGGGAGACACACGGCGGGUGCUAACGUCCGUCGUGGAGAGGGAAACAACCCAGACCGCCAGCUAAGGUCCCAAAAUAUUGCUAAGUGGGAAACGAUGUGGGAAGGCAUAGACAGCUAGGAGGUUGGCUUAGAAGCAGCCACCCUUUAAAGAAAGCGUAAUAGCUCACUAGUCGAGUCGGCCUGCGCGGAAGAUGUAACGGGGCUAAGCAAUAUACCGAAGCUGCGGCAGCAUAGUUUACUAUGCUGGGUAGGGGAGCGUUGUGUAAGUGGAUGAAGGUGAGUUGUAAAGCUUGCUGGACAUAUCACAAGUGCGAAUGCUGACAUGAGUAACGAUAAUGGGAGUGAAAAACUCCCACGCCGGAAGACCAAGGUUUCCUGUCCCAUGCUAAUCAGGGCAGGGUAAGUCGGCCCCUAAGGCGAGGCAGAAAUGCGUAGUCGAUGGGAAACGGAUUAAUAUUUCCGUACUUAUAUAAUCAGUGAUGGAGGGACGGAGAAGGCUAGGCAAGCUUGGCGUUGGUUGUCCAAGUGAAAGCGAGUAGGCCGAGAAUUUAGGUAAAUCCGGAUUCUUAAAGCUGAGACGCGAGACGAGCUCCCAAGGGAGUGAAGUUGUUGAUGCCCUGCUUCCAGGAAAAGCUUCUAAACUUAUGAUUAUAUGAACCGUACCCCAAACCGACACAGGUGGUCAGGUAGAGAAUACUAAGGCGCUUGAGAGAACUCGGGUGAAGGAACUCGGCAAAAUUGUACCGUAACUUCGGGAGAAGGUACGCCUCUGUUUGUGAACACUUCGCGUGGUAAGCAAAUGGAGGCCGCAGUGACCAGGUGGCUGGGACUGUUUAUUAAAAACACAGCACUCUGCAAACUCGUAAGAGGACGUAUAGGGUGUGACACCUGCCCGGUGCCGGAAGGUUAAUUGAUGGGGUUAGU